rnacentral:rRNA from 1 species
GAUGAACGCUAGCUACAGGCUUAACACAUGCAAGUCGAGGGGCAGCGGUAUCGAAAGCUUGCUUUCGGUAGCCGGCGACCGGCGCACGGGUGAGUAACGCGUAUCGAACCUGCCUCAUACUCGGGAAUAGCCUUGCGAAAGUAAGAUUAAUGCCCGGUGUUUUCAGAGUCCCGCAUGAGGCUUUGAACAAAGAUUUAUCGGUAUGAGAUGGCGAUGCGUCCCAUUAGCUUGUUGGCGGGGUAACGGCCCACCAAGGCAUCGAUGGGUAGGGGUUCUGAGAGGAAGGUCCCCCACAUUGGAACUGAGACACGGGCCAAACUCCUACGGGAGGCAGCAGUGAGGAAUAUUGGUCAAUGGGCGGAAGCCUGAACCAGCCAAGUAGCGUGCAGGAAGACGGCCCUCCGGGUUGUAAACUGCUUUUAGUUGGGAAUAAAACGGGGCUCGUGAGCCCCCUUGCAUGUACCAUCAGAAAAAGGACCGGCUAAUUCCGUG